AUUGAACGCUGGCGGCAUGCUUUACACAUGCAAGUCGAACGGUAACAGGCCGCGAGGUGCUGACGAGUGGCGAACGGGUGAGUAAUGCAUCGGAACGUGCCCAGUCGUGGGGGAUAACGCAGCGAAAGCUGCGCUAAUACCGCAUACGACCUAUGGAUGAAAGCGGGGGACCGUAAGGCCUCGCGCGAUUGGAGCGGCCGAUGUCAGAUUAGGUAGUUGGUGGGGUAAAGGCUCACCAAGCCGACGAUCUGUAGCUGGUCUGAGAGGACGACCAGCCAAACUGGGACGGAGACACGGCCCAGACUCCUACGGGAGUCAGCAGUGGGGAAUUUUGGACAAUGGGCGCAAGCCUGAUCCAGCAAUGCCGCGUGCAGGAAGAAGGCCUUCGGGUUGUAAACUGCUUUUGUACGGAACGAAACGGUCCUGGUUAAUACCUGGGGCUAAUGACGGUACCGUAAGAAUAAGCACCGGCUAACUACGUGCCAGCCGCCGCAGUAAAAC
rnacentral:rRNA from 1 species